rnacentral:tRNA from 1 species
GGAGAGAUGGCCGAGUUUGGUUGAAGGCGCUCGACUCGAAAUCGAGUAGGCGGUUAGCAGCUGCCUCGGGGGUUCGAAUCCCUCUCUCUCCGCCA